rnacentral:lncRNA from 9 species
CCAGUGCAAGUGUGGAGUGGAGGCUUGUGCUGUGGAUGGAGAGCAGUGGGUGGCUGGGCCAUGGUGAAACUCAUGAAACACACUCAGACUCUGAAUGCCGACCACCUCUGCUUCCGCCUGGUUCCCUGCCCGCAGCCCUGCUGUCUUGAGGAGGAAUGAACACAAACAGACCAGGAGCUGGGGGAUGGACCGUGUCCCUUCUAGCCAAGAUUUUGGAAAAUGCAGAGUGGAAUGCUCUUUUUUCUUUUGAAGCAGAAAAGCUGUUGGGUGGCUCACAGAAUCACCAGGAAGAGGAACACGCAGACCUUCCAAAGGCACAGGAACAAAAGGAAGAACCCCAGGCAAAAUCACUCCCCAGAACUACUGCUGAGGCCCUGCUGGCUCCUGGGUGUUGCCCAAAGGUUGUUGCCAGGAGAUUUUCUGUAGGUCACUGCUUUGAUCAUAGCCCUCUCUGGAUCCAAGCCCUUGCUGGCUCCCUGGUGAGUAUAGAUACCAACCUGGCCUUCCACAAUCUGAUGUCAGCCUGCCUUCCCCAUCCUGCCUGGUGGGACUUAAGGUGUAUCAGCCAAAGAAGCCCACUUGCACAUUUCAUGUGUGCCCCUGGGUCUGGAAUUGCUCUUAGAGAGACCCGCUCUCUCCUUCAAGGAGCCGCUGCAACUCCAGCUUCUCCCAUGGACUUCCCUGCCCUUCUCCACACAAAGGGUCCCUCUCUUCUAAGCUCCGUGUGUACACUGGUCUCUUGGCACUUACUGUGCACUGUGUAGUGCAGUGUGCACGCUGUCCUAUUCCUCAAGCUCAUAAGCAGGGCCUGUGACUCAGUCACCUUGGUGUCCCCAGUGCCCAGAGCAGAUAUUUGCAAGACACAGGAGCUCAAUAAAUGUUUGUUUAAUGAAUAAAUACAUAAUUCAAAUCCAACACUCUGCUUUCUUCCAAUGACUCUCAAAUGACCUUAGGCAGAAAACAUAUUUACCUUUCUAACCUGACCUCCCACCAUUGGUCAAAAUUAGAAUAAGCACUAGGUGAAUUAAAAGCUGUCACAUUAUAUUUGGCACCUUUAAGACUCAGGGUUGGGAGUGACUCAGAGUUUACCAUGCAAAGGUCUAAGAUGCUGGCAACAGUAUCAUCUUCCUGAUAGAAUGAUGUCUGGGCUGGCAAGCAUGCAUUAACUUGUCCUUUGAGUACUCCCUCUGACUUCAUAUGUCCUGAGCCCUGGACUGGUGUCUCCUUCUCUGAUUUAACCCUUCCCCUGGACCGCUGGGCUUUGAUCUUGGUAUUUGUUCCUCUUUUGUUUUCAUUUCCCAGUCCUUAUCUGCCAGGGAGCAUGGGGUUCAAGCAACAGAAAGCACUCUGUCUAAGAUCAGCAUAAAGAGUGUAUUGGAAAGAUGUGGCAGAACUCAUGGAAUUGAAGGGAGGGCUAGAGAGCCAGCCCAGAGGUCCUGAAACCAGAACAACGUAUGGGGUGGCUUACAGGUCUCAGAAACAGAAGGAACUGAUAAAAGGAUAGUUCUUAAAACAUGGCUGCUGCUACUGCCAGUGCAAAUAAGUGCCAAUUUUUGUUGCACUGUUCCAAUUGGACCUAGAAGGUGCUUCCAUUUCACCAUCCACUGCCUGCCUCCCAACUCUUUUCUGGUUACCAGCCUGCCACUCAUUGUUCCACCCAUCACUGUAUCCCCACCCAGGCCAGCAUCCUUACCCCACAAGGGGUUUCCGAGUUGCCCCCCACCCCCGGCGUGCCAGAUUUCUGCUUGGCCCGGGUGACACAGCCCUCUGAGCAGCAGCACAGCAGCAGCAGG